rnacentral:rRNA from 1 species
AUGUUCACGGCUUUCCAGGUGGACGAACAUACGUUCAAGGUGUGUUCGAUUUUGGGCAUGUCAGAUUCAGAACCCGAAGAUCCGGACAAAGGAAGGAACUACUUCGUCAAAGCCUCGAUAGGCGAAGGCGAAUACUACUGCCAAUGCUGCAAGUUUGAACGGGACGACAUUGUGUGCUGUCACAUACUAAAAGUAAUGGACAUGAACGCUGUGACAUGGAUGCCCUGCCAUUUCAUAAGGCGGCGAUGGACUUGGGACGCUGACGAUGCGUUUGCGUCCCAUACAACAAACGCAGUUCUGGCUGUGCAUGACGAGAGACCUGAGUCAACCAUGGAAGCCGUGAGGCAUGUUGUGCUGACAAAGAACUAUGCUGAGCUAAUUGAUGAAGCGUGCAAGAGUGAUGAGACAGCGAGAGUCGCAGAAAAACACAGGAAGGCCCUGAAAAGAGAGCUUGAUGAGAUCAAGAAGAGGAAAGCUGAGGAAGCCUUACACCAGUUCCCCGGCACAUCAAGUGUGCCUUCAUCCACGGGGCCAUCAUCUGAAAAACUCGGAGAUAGGAUCUGGAACAACAAGCACACAAACCCAGGUCAGGAACCCACCCCGUUCCAUCACAAAGGGUCGUCCAAGAGAGAUAAGAUCUGCCAUGUUAAUUAUACUGGAUCUGUCAUGCUAAUUAUGCUGGAUCUGACGUGUUGUUUCUACUGA